rnacentral:rRNA from 1 species
GGGCCCGCACAAGCAGCGGAGCGUGUGGUUUAAUUCGAUGAUACGCGAAGAACCUUACCUGGGUUUGACAUAUAAGUAGUAGAGAAGUGAAAGCGGAUCGACCCUUCGGGGAGCUUAAACAGGUGCUGCAUGGCUGUCGUCAGCUCGUGUCGUGAGAUGUUGGGUUAAGUCCCGCAACGAGCGCAACCCUCGUCGUUAGUUACAAGUGUCUAACGAUACUGCCGGUUUCAAACCGGAGGAAGGUGGGGAUGACGUCAAGUCAGCAUGGUCUUUAUAUCCAGGGCUACACACACGCUACAAUGGUCGGUACAAUGGGUUGCCACAGCGCGAGCUGGAGCUAAUCCCCAAAGCCGGUCUCAGUUCAGAUUGCAGUCUGCAACUCGACUGCAUGAAGGCGGAGUUGCUAGUAACCGCGCGUCAGCCAUAGUGCGGUGAAUGCGUUCCCGGGCCUU